UUCAGCGGCUGGCCAGGGUGGACAGAAAGCUUGGGUUGCUGGUGGUGACCCAAGCCUCCUGCCCGCUGUGGCUGGCUCUGUGG
rnacentral:pre_miRNA from 1 species